rnacentral:rRNA from 1 species
AUACGUAGGGGGCUAGCGUUAUCCGGAAUUACUGGGCGUAAAGGGUGCGUAGGUGGUUUCUUAAGUCAGAAGUGAAAGGCUACGGCUCAACCGUAGUAAGCUUUUGAAACUAAGAGACUUGAGUGCAGGAGAGGAGAGUAGAAUUCCUAGUGUAGCGGUGAAAUGCGUAGAUAUUAGGAGGAAUACCAGUUGCGAAGGCGGCUCUCUGGACUGUAACUGACACUGAGGCACGAAAGCGUGGGGAGCAAACAGGAUUAGAUACCCUGGUAGUCCACGCCGUAAACGAUGAGUACUAGCUGUCGGGGGUUACCCCCCUCGGUGGCGCAGCGAACGCAUUAAGUACUCCGCCUGGGAAGUACGCUCGCAAGAGUGAA